UACAGAGGUCUCAAGCGUUGUUCGGAUUCAUUGGGCGUAAAGGGUGCGUAGGCGGUGAAGCAAGUCUGGUGUGAAAUCCCGGAGCUCAACUCUGGAACUGCACUGGAUACUGCUUUACUUGAGCACUGGAGAGGGAACUGGAAUUUACGGUGUAGCAGUGAAAUGCGUAGAGAUCGUAAGGAAGACCAGCGGCGAAGGCGAGUUCCUGGACAGUUGCUGACGCUGAGGCACGAAGGCCAGGGGAGCAAACGGG
rnacentral:rRNA from 1 species